rnacentral:lncRNA from 1 species
CUCCAACAUGUACAGAUAAAAUUCGAGUUCAAAUCUAAAUCUGUCACGUGCAUGACAUGUGAAGAUAUAUGAAUAUAUGGCAGGGAUCUAAUGGAUAAAAGAAAAAGAAAAAAAACAGAAAGAAGAAGAAGUGGACCAGUGGCUUUGGAGAGGAAGACAUGCAUAAUUUUAUUUGGGACCCAUGGGAUUAAAUGAAGUAAAGUGGUUCAGGCAAACGGGCGCGG